CCUGGUUGAUCCUGCCAGUAGUCAUAUGCUUGUCUCAAAGAUUAAGCCAUGCAUGUGUAAGUACAGGCCGACUUAAGGCGAAACCGCGGACGGCUCAUUAAAUCAGAUAUAACUCAUUGGAUCUCUGCUGAACCGCAUUACUUGGAUAACUGUGGUAAUUCUAGAGCUAAUACAUGCCUUUGUAGUCUCCGACCGCGAGGGAGGAGCGCUUUUAUUAGACCAAAACCCUCGGCAGCCGGUUCCCGCAAGGGGCCGGCCGCACACAUCUUGGUGAAUCAGAAUAACUUUUGCCGAGCGCACGACCCCUCCCGUAACCCGGGUUGGGUCGGCGCCGCGUCCUGCAGGCGUCUGCCUUAUCAGCUCUCGAUUGUAGGUUAAACGCCUACAAUGGCUAUCACGGGUAACGGGGAAUCAGGGUUCGAUUCCGGAGAGGGAGCCUGAGAAACGGCUACCACAUCUAAGGAAGGCAGCAGGCGCGCAAAUUACCCACUCCCGGCACGGGGAGGUAGUGACGAAAAAUACUGUUGCGAGCCCCGAACGGGGCCUCGCAAUUGGAAUGAGUACACUUUAAAUCCUUGUACGAGGAUCGAGUGGAGGGCAAGUCUGGUGCCAGCCGCCGCGGUAAUUCCAGCUCCACUAGCGUAUAUUAAAGUUGUUGCGGUUGAAACGCUCGUAGUUUGACUUCUGCUCCGGACCGGCGGUCCGCCUUAGCGGCGGCUACUGCCGGGUUCCGAGCUGUGUCCCCGCCGGCGCACAUGGGGUUUUUAUGCCCUUAACCGGGUGUCCCCUUGUGGCCGGCACGUUUACUUUGAAAAAAUUAGAGUGCUCAGAGCAGGCUGGUUUUUGCUUACAGCCCGAAUGGUCGUGCAUGGAAUGAUGGAACAGGACCUCGGUUCUAUUUUGUCGGUUUUUCGGAACCCGAGGUAAUGAUUAAUAGAAGCAGACGGGGGCAUUCGUACUGCGACGCUAGAGGUGAAAUUCUUAGACCGUCGCAUGACGACCUACUGCGAAAGCAUCUGCCAAGGAUGUUUUCAUUGAUCAAGAACGAAAGUUAGAGGUUCGAAGGCGAUCAGAUACCGCCCUAGUUCUAACCUUAAACGAUGCUGACUAGCGAUCCGCCGCAGUUAUUCCCAUGACCCGGCGGGUAGCUUCCGGGAAACCAAAGUCUUUGAGUUCCGGGGGAAGUAUGGUUGCAAAGCUGAAACUUAAAGGAAUUGACGGAAGGGCACCACCAGGAGUGGAGCCUGCGGCUCAAUUUGACUCAACACGGGGAAACUCACCAGGCCAGGACACCGGAAGGAUUGACAGAAUGAAGGCUCUUUCUCGAUUCGGUGGGUGGUGGUGCAUGGCCGUUCUUAGUUGGUGGAGUGAUCUGUCUGGUUAAUUCCGAUAACGAACGAGACUCUAGCCUGCUAAAUAGUCGACGGAUCUCAACCCCGUUGCCCCCGUUGUCGUUCGCGGCGAUGCGGGGCGCGGGUUCCCCGAAACCCGGUCGUCGUGCGGGCCUCCACCGUCGGUCGGUUAGCGCCGCCGGCGGCGCGCCCCGCGGCGCCGGAAACUGGCGUCCGCUUCGCAGUCUUCUUCUUAGAGGGAUAAGCGGCAGCAAAAAAUAUACUAGCCGCACGAGAGUUUGAGCCAUAACAGGUCUGUGAUGCCCUUAGAUGUUCUGGGCCGCACGCGCGCUACAAUGGAGAGUUCAGCGAGCUGGCCCUGCUCCGAGAGGAGCGGGUAACCUCGUGAAAGCUGUCCUUAAAGGGGAUUGGGGCUUGCAAAUGUUCCCCAUGAACGAGGAAUUCCCAGUAGGCGCAAUUCACCAGAUUGCGCCGAUUUAGUCCCUGCCCUUUGUACACACCGCCCG
rnacentral:rRNA from 1 species